GACAUUUGAAAUCAAAACCUCACACCAGUAAAAGCCUUCGAUUCGCGCUCAGCACCUCCUUAGAGUGAGUGUCAGGCCCAUCUGGGCUCCCCUUUACUGUAUCUGGCAAAGCCCCAUCUGGUGAAAGACCGUGUCUCUUCCUCAGACUCCACUUGCACCUCAGCAGCAGGCUGUUGUCAAAAUAACACCGGAGACUAUACUGAUGGGCUUCCUUCAAAUACGCGAUCGGAUCAGAAACUCCUGUGGGCUCACCAGAUGUCAGGAGCGAUGGGACACCAGAGGCGGAAGAACCUAUGUCCCCAGGCUACAGCAAAGCUCCCAGCCCUAUGAAAAUCAUCUAGCCUGCUCUGAGCCACAUGCCUAGAGGUCACAGAGGCAUGCGGGAAAGUGAGAGGAAGUGGAAACGUGCUACAAAAAGGGCUCAAAGCAAUGUGCUCACCACCGGAAAAAAAAAUAAAAAUAAACACCCUCA
rnacentral:lncRNA from 1 species